rnacentral:rRNA from 1 species
AGCGUACACGGUGGAUGCCCUGGCAGUCAGAGGCGAUGAAGGACGUGCUAAUCUGCGAUAAGCGUCGGUAAGGUGAUAUGAACCGUUAUAACCGGCGAUUUCCGAAUGGGGAAACCCAGUGUGAUUCGUCACACUAUCAUUAACUGAAUCCAUAGGUUAAUGAGGCGAACCGGGGGAACUGAAACAUCUAAGUACCCCGAGGAAAAGAAAUCAACCGAGAUUCCCCCAGUAGCGGCGAGCGAACGGGGAGCAGCCCAGAGCCUGAAUCAGUGUGUGUGUUAGUGGAAGCGUCUGGAAAGGCGCGCGAUACAGGGUGACAGCCCCGUACACAAAAAUGCACAUACUGUGAGCUCGAUGAGUAGGGCGGGACACGUGGUAUCCUGUCUGAAUAUGGGGGGACCAUCCUCCAAGGCUAAAUACUCCUGACUGACCGAUAGUGAACCAGUACCGUGAGGGAAAGGCGAAAAGAACCCCGGCGAGGGGAGUGAAAAAGAACCUGAAACCGUGUACGUACAAGCAGUGGGAGCACAGAGCAAUCUGUGUGACUGCGUACCUUUUGUAUAAUGGGUCAGCGACUUAUAUUCUGUAGCAAGGUUAACCGAAUAGGGGAGCCGAAGGGAAACCGAGUCUUAACUGGGCGUUAAGUUGCAGGGUAUAGACCCGAAACCCGGUGAUCUAGCCAUGGGCAGGUUGAAGGUUGGGUAACACUAACUGGAGGACCGAACCGACUAAUGUUGAAAAAUUAGCGGAUGACUUGUGGCUGGGGGUGAAAGGCCAAUCAAACCGGGAGAUAGCUGGUUCUCCCCGAAAGCUAUUUAGGUAGCGCCUCGUGAAUUCAUCUCCGGGGGUAGAGCACUGUUUCGGCAAGGGGGUCAUCCCGACUUACCAACCCGAUGCAAACUGCGAAUACCGGAGAAUGUUAUCACGGGAGACACACGGCGGGUGCUAACGUCCGUCGUGAAGAGGGAAACAACCCAGACCGCCAGCUAAGGUCCCAAAGUCAUGGUUAAGUGGGAAACGAUGUGGGAAGGCCCAGACAGCCAGGAUGUUGGCUUAGAAGCAGCCAUCAUUUAAAGAAAGCGUAAUAGCUCACUGGUCGAGUCGGCCUGCGCGGAAGAUGUAACGGGGCUAAACCAUGCACCGAAGCUGCGGCAGCGACGCUGAUGCGUUGUUGGGUAGGGGAGCGUUCUGUAAGCCUGUGAAGGUGUGCUGUGAGGCAUGCUGGAGGUAUCAGAAGUGCGAAUGCUGACAUAAGUAACGAUAAAGCGGGUGAAAAGCCCGCUCGCCGGAAGACCAAGGGUUCCUGUCCAACGUUAAUCGGGGCAGGGUGAGUCGACCCCUAAGGCGAGGCCGAAAGGCGUAGUCGAUGGGAAACAGGUUAAUAUUCCUGUACUUGGUGUUACUGCGAAGGGGGGACGGAGAAGGCUAUGUUGGCCGGGCGACGGUUGUCCCGGUUUAAGCGUGUAGGCUGGUUUUCCAGGCAAAUCCGGAAAAUCAAGGCUGAGGCGUGAUGACGAGGCACUACGGUGCUGAAGCAACAAAUGCCCUGCUUCCAGGAAAAGCCUCUAAGCAUCAGGUAACAUCAAAUCGUACCCCAAACCGACACAGGUGGUCAGGUAGAGAAUACCAAGGCGCUUGAGAGAACUCGGGUGAAGGAACUAGGCAAAAUGGUGCCGUAACUUCGGGAGAAGGCACGCUGAUAUGUAGGUGAAGUCCCUCGCGGAUGGAGCUGAAAUCAGUCGAAGAUACCAGCUGGCUGCAACUGUUUAUUAAAAACACAGCACUGUGCAAACACGAAAGUGGACGUAUACGGUGUGACGCCUGCCCGGUGCCGGAAGGUUAAUUGAUGGGGUCAGCGCAAGCGAAGCUCUUGAUCGAAGCCCCGGUAAACGGCGGCCGUAACUAUAACGGUCCUAAGGUAGCGAAAUUCCUUGUCGGGUAAGUUCCGACCUGCACGAAUGGCGUAAUGAUGGCCAGGCUGUCUCCACCCGAGACUCAGUGAAAUUGAACUCGCUGUGAAGAUGCAGUGUACCCGCGGCAAGACGGAAAGACCCCGUGAACCUUUACUAUAGCUUGACACUGAACAUUGAGCCUUGAUGUGUAGGAUAGGUGGGAGGCUUAGAAGUGUGGACGCCAGUCUGCAUGGAGCCGACCUUGAAAUACCACCCUUUAAUGUUUGAUGUUCUAACGUUGACCCGUAAUCCGGGUUGCGGACAGUGUCUGGUGGGUAGUUUGACUGGGGCGGUCUCCUCCUAAAGAGUAACGGAGGAGCACGAAGGUUGGCUAAUCCUGGUCGGACAUCAGGAGGUUAGUGCAAUGGCAUAAGCCAGCUUGACUGCGAGCGUGACGGCGCGAGCAGGUGCGAAAGCAGGUCAUAGUGAUCCGGUGGUUCUGAAUGGAAGGGCCAUCGCUCAACGGAUAAAAGGUACUCCGGGGAUAACAGGCUGAUACCGCCCAAGAGUUCAUAUCGACGGCGGUGUUUGGCACCUCGAUGUCGGCUCAUCACAUCCUGGGGCUGAAGUAGGUCCCAAGGGUAUGGCUGUUCGCCAUUUAAAGUGGUACGCGAGCUGGGUUUAGAACGUCGUGAGACAGUUCGGUCCCUAUCUGCCGUGGGCGCUGGAGAACUGAGGGGGGCUGCUCCUAGUACGAGAGGACCGGAGUGGACGCAUCACUGGUGUUCGGGUUGUCAUGCCAAUGGCACUGCCCGGUAGCUAAAUGCGGAAGAGAUAAGUGCUGAAAGCAUCUAAGCACGAAACUUGCCCCGAGAUGAGUUCUCCCUGACUCCUUGA